rnacentral:rRNA from 1 species
GACGAACGCUGGCGGCGUGCCUAAUACAUGCAAGUUGAGCGCUGAAGGUUGGUACUUGUACCGACUGGAUGAGCAGCGAACGGGUGAGUAACGCGUGGGGAAUCUGCCUUUGAGCGGGGGACAACAUUUGGAAACGAAUGCUAAUACCGCAUAAAAACUUUAAACACAAGUUUUAAGUUUGAAAGAUGCAAUUGCAUCACUCAAAGAUGAUCCCGCGUUGUAUUAGCUAGUUGGUGAGGUAAAGGCUCACCAAGGCGAUGAUACAUAGCCGACCUGAGAGGGGGAUCGGCCACAUUGGGACUGGAACCCGCCCAAACCUCCUCCGGGAGGCACCAGAAGGGAAUCUCGGCAAUAGACGAAAGUCUGACCGAGCAACGCCGCGUGAGUGAAGAAGGUUUUCGGAUCGUAAAACUCUGUUGGUAGAGAAGAACGUUGGUGAGAGUGGAAAGCUCAUCAAGUGACGGUAACUACCCAGAAAGGGAUGGCUAACUACGUG